GUAGUUGUAGCUCAGAGGUAAAGCACUUGCCUCGCAAGUGUGAUGCACUAGGUUCAAUCCUAGCACUAUA
rnacentral:tRNA from 1 species